GCCAGGCACUGUGGUGCAUGCCUGUAAUCCCAGUGGCUUAGGAGGCUGAGGCCGGAGGAUCGUGAGUUCAAAACCAACCUCAGCAAUUUAGCAAGGCCCUAAGCAACUCAGUGAAACCCUGUCUCUA
rnacentral:sRNA from 1 species